ensembl:lncRNA
GGAGACACAUCACCACCUCUGUCAGUCACUGGUGCAGAGCCACCUCCUAGCCUAGCUGCUUCUGGUAUGCUGUUUCCUUUCCCACUUCCUGUUGGUCCCUCCCAGGCCCUGCAAUGCCAGCGUGGCCACCCUCUUGGUAGCCUGGCCAGUGAGAGGAGGACAGUUGUGUGCUGAAUUAGCACACGCAUGUGCAGCGUGCGUGCGUGCGCACACACACACACACGCACACACACACGCCCUGCUACAUUUGGACAAACCAUGCCUGCCAGAUUGUAGCAGAGGUGAGGAAGCAGGUGGGCAGCUUGCCUGACCCAGCUUCCCAGAAGAGCGUGUCUCCAACAGAGAGGCUCCACACUCUAGUUCAGGGUUAUUGACCUGCCUCAGUAAGAUGACAGACUCAUUUGGGAGGGGUGUUGCAAACAAGUUUUCCGUGAGAAUAGUUAAGUUCCAGAGCUUGUAAAGGAUUCAGUGACUUACACUUAGUAAAUUAGGCCAGGUACGGUGGCUCACGCCUGUAAUUCCAACACUUUGGGAGGCUGAGGUGGGCAGAUCAUUUGAGGUCAGGAGUUUGAGACCAGCCUGACCAACAUGGUGAAACCCUGUCUCUACUAAAAAUACAAAAAUUAGUCAGGUGUAGUGGCACACACCUGUAAUCCCAGCUACUUGGGAGGCUGAAGCAGGAGAUUGCUUGAACCCGGGAGGUUGCAAUGAGCUGAGAUCACGUUGCUUCACUCCAGCCUGGGUGACAGAGCAAGACUCUGUCUCAAACAAACAAAGAAACCUAUAGCGAUGCAGGUUUUCAUGCUCAGAUGCUUGCAUUCAGGUAUGCUUUCUUUUUUGAGAGAGACAAAUGGGUCACAGCUGGCAGCCUGGGAAUAGCACAUAAUCCAGGGUGUGUCUGUGGUGGUGGACAUGCAGGAGGGCACCAUCUGUCCUGUGUCAUGAUGGGAAAACAAUCAUGAACCACUGGUCUAAAUUAGGCCUGGCCAUGCUUUCUCAGCCCCUCCCUCAUUUAAAUCUGUCUUCCCAAGGCUGAGCUAGAACUAAACCAUUUCUCCUCUGCUGGUCAUUCGGAGGAACAAUACCAGGGGUGAGAGGUUUGUAGGCUGAAUCCCCCAGGCAUGGGGAUGCAGGGUGUCCCUGAAGUGUGCCCAAAGCAGAGCUCGCUGGCCUAUGAUCUCUGCCCUUGCUCCCACAGUGUAAGACCCCCAGGAAGCAACUGGGGCCUGAACCUCUCACCUAGGAGGUGGGUUUAUUUUAUUUCUUGUUAGCAUCAGGCUCUGAAAGGAGACGGUGUACAUUUCGUUUUGAAAACAUCUUCUGGACUGAAGCCAGAGUUUAGUGUCGUCUUUACUAUGGAAAGAGAGGAGAAUGGACAGAAAUGGUUUAACGGUGUGGGGUUUUGUUUGUUUUGUUUUAAAUGGAAGAAAGACCAAAACUUUCCUGGUGAAUCAGCUAGGGCCUUUGACCCUGCACUAACCAUGGCAUUUUAUCCAGGUAAAGUCCAGGGAAAGAACUCAGCCAAAUGGACUAAGGAACACACGAGUUUGGAAUUCGAGACCCUGACAUUUUUGUGUUCUUGGAAAUCCAGUUACCUUCCCAUGCCCAGAUUUCCUUCCUGCCUCAUGGACCAGGCUCUAACACUGAGGUCCUCACUGUUCCCAACACAGGCAAAGCUUCCUGAGGGCUGGAGCGGGGAAGGGGAGAGGAGAAUGGGGAAGAAGCAUUUGAUGUAGUUGUGUGGAAUAAACAGUAUUUUUUUCUUUUG